CAAGAGAAAGAAAAUGGAGAUGAUGGAAAUGUGUAGAAUGGAGGUUGUGAUCAAAGCUCUAGUGUGUUGGUUCUACUGAGGGUCACAAAAAGGAGUGAGAUGGUUGGCGUAGGAGUUGGCAUUGAUGAUAAAGUGUAGCGAGAGUUGGAUGGAUAAUGGAUUUUGGAUGGAUAAUGGAUUUAGUGAUGUGUGUUUCGUUUUCAACCGUUAAAGCAACAACAGUCUCCAUAUACAAUCAUAUUUGAAUCAUGAACCAAUAACAAUCAAAUACAGCCAACCCCACAUACGACUGAUCAUGUUCACACACAAGUAUUAAUGGUGGAGUUCUUACCUUUGAUGUGGCCGCUAUAUCUCCCUUUGGAACUUCUUUUUGCGAUGGGGAUGAGUCCAAGUGUGCUGAGAGCUAAGAAAAUUGUGUCCUUUUUCUCCUUCUUGAUGGCUAUCAAGUUGUCUUCUGCCAUCUAGCCAAGCCAAUAGCUGCAUUGCUACGACUGUCUGCCAUGGUUGCUGCUAUAGUGAUACAGUGAUACGCACAUACCAAACAUUUCCUUUUCAUGCCAAGAAGCAAAAAUGGCUCAAAAUAUGAACAUUUGAAUAUUUUUCUUGCAUGGAGAGGGAAGGGUCAGAGGACUUUUGACUUCCACUUUCCAUCUUUUCCCCUCAUUUUAAUUAAUUAAUUUUUUAAUACAAUAUUAUUUAAAAGAAAAAAAAACACGAAAAUGAUAAAAAAAA